GAGUACUAGUCCUGGAAAUUAUAAGCGGUCAACGAAACAUUUGUUCCAGAAAAGGAGAUUCAGUGGAAGACCUUCUGAGCGUUGCUUGGUUGAACUGGUGCGAAGAAACAGUUUCAAAUUUGAUUGACCCUAUUCUGAGGGGAAGCUCAGGCCUUGUUGGUGACAUAGUGAGAUACAUCCACAUUGCUUUAUUGUGCGUUCAAGAAAAUGUUGCUGAUAGACCAAACAUGGGUGAAGUACUUCUCAUGCUCAGCAGUCGCUCUUUGAGUCUUCCAGUUCCACACAACCCACAGAUUUUACACUUUGGAGAUGUCUAUACAACAAUUUCUGAGUCCAGCAAAAUAACGGAAAGUAAAUCAAUAUGUUCUUCAGGAAAUCAGGAUUUGAUAACUGAGUUGCAUCCUCGAUAAAACAUCCAUACAUACAUCUCUCUAUGUAUAUGCACAAGUAUAUCAUUCAUUUUUAGGCGUGGUGUAUAUGUGUA
rnacentral:misc_RNA from 1 species